GUCCCUCUCAUGUGCGCUGGCCGACCCUGCCCUGCGUUCGCUGCGCGCUAUAUGUGUGCGGGUUAGUGAGAGAAAGGGCGGCAAAGGGCCGUAUUGGAAAGGCGCUGAUCACGUUUGUGGCUAAGCAGUUUGUAUGAGCUGUCGGUGGGCCAUCGUCACACGUCCCGCCCCACCCACGCAGGCUGCAGUACAGUAGUCACUCAGCUGAUUACAUGAUUGAGAAUUACUCCGGAGUGGACUUUUGGAAGAGUUUUUUGUUUUUUUUUCUUUAGUUCAGUUAGAUGCAUGGAAAAACUGAGAAACCUAUCAAUCAGUGGCCACUCGCAACACCUUCUGAGGAGAAAAAGAAGAAGUGCAAGAAGAGAAGGAACAGAGAGAGAGAGAGGAGAAAGACGUCACCAUGCAAUCUGCUCCCUCAGCACAGCGUCUCAGAUGUGGUCUGGCACCUAGUUCACAAAGCCAACCAGAUCCACACAUUGCCUUCAUAUAUCUCUGGAAACGGGGUGAGCGGAGGGCGUGUGAUGGGGAAUGAGAGCAAGAGACAGAAACUGGGAGCGGGUGACAGGGGAGGAGGGGUGGAUGGUGGUGCUUGUGGGUGGAUGUGUGUGUGAGGGGGGGUGAAGAAGAAAGGGAAGAGCAAGUCUUUUGUGUUUACUCACACCGAGUCGCUGCCAGAAACUUUAGACCACAUAAGCGAUUCACUUUUGUCAUCUUUGCUGACCCAGUCCCAUGUAAAAGAUUGAUGAGCGAGAUGAUGAACCAAAAUAAACCAAUCUCACAGUCACUCACACAGACAGACAGCCAGGGAGGCAGGCGAGCAGCCAGGCAGACCCUCUUCAGUGAGCAAAACCAGACCCAGAUUCUCUCUGGCCAAAUCUCGCUCUCUCCUUUUUCCCUUCUUUUUCCUUUUUUUUUGUUUUUUCCUCAGUGGUCAUUCAGCAGCAGCCUGCUGCCCUCUUUUGUCAGUGUCAUGGCUGCGCUGGACUGUUGUUUUGAUCGGAGCAUUCAAAGGCUUGCAGAGAAAAAACUCGGUGGUCAAACUGACGAUCCGAGAACAGUUUAAAUGUUGGACACAUUUUCUUCUUUCAGAUCAUUUAACCUGUUAAAAUCUGCUCCUUCGUUUUCUUAAUAUAUUCCUCUCGCUGGAACGAUUACGUAACUAAAUAAAUGGUAUUCUAAGGAACACGAUGCGACUGUGCGCUGCUUCCCCUCACCCUGAAAUGCUCCUCGGCAGUAUGCACAAGCGCAGCUUUUUAUGAAUCCAUAAAAUGAUGUCUUGUUUUAACGAGAAAAGAAAUUCAUUGCUACCGUAAUUGGUAAGUGCCCAAAUCAUUAAGCCCUAAUGCAGGGCAUUUCCUUUGGAGGUAGUUUCCAUUUAAG
ensembl:lncRNA